rnacentral:misc_RNA from 1 species
AGAAGAUGAGCAAGCUCAAACAAGUCAUAUAGAAUUCUAUCAGUCCGCUCUGAUUAGCUUCCCGAAUCGUCAUACAAGAUUAGAUUUCCAAGAAGAAGCCAGCAACUUACCUUUGUUAUCAAAACUCAAGGUAUAAAAUUUGGUCCAUUGGUGUUUCCUAUACGAAUACAACAAAUCUCAGCUUUGCUUGUGCCUCACAA